rnacentral:rRNA from 1 species
UAGGGAAUCUUCCGCAAUGGGCGAAAGCCUGACCGAGCAACGCCGCGUGAGUGAAGAAGGUUUUCGGAUCGUAAAGCUCUGUUGUAAGUCAAGAACGAGUGUGAGAGUGGAAAGUUCACACUGUGACGGUAGCUUACCAGAAAGGGACGGCUAACUACGUGCCAGCAGCCGCGGUAAUACGUAGGUCCCGAGCGUUGUCCGGAUUUAUUGGGCGUAAAGCGAGCGCAGGCGGUUUGAUAAGUCUGAAGUUAAAGGCUGUGGCUCAACCAUAGUUCGCUUUGGAAACUGUCAAACUUGAGUGCAGAAGGGGAGAGUGGAAUUCCAUGUGUAGCGGUGAAAUGCGUAGAUAUAUGGAGGAACACCGGUGGCGAAAGCGGCUCUCUGGUCUGUAACUGACGCUGAGGCUCGAAAGCGUGGGGAGCGAACAGGAUUAGAUACCCUGGUAGUCCACGCCGUAACGAUGAGUGCUAGGUGUUGGAUCCUUUCCGGGAUUCAGUGCCGCAGCUAACGCAUUAAGCACUCCGCCUGGGGAGUACGACCGCAAGGUU